rnacentral:rRNA from 1 species
ACGAACGCUGGCGGCGUGCUUAACACAUGCCAGUCGCACGGAAAGGCCCUGCUUUUGUGGGGUGCUCGAGUGGCGAACGGGUGAGUAACACGUGAGUAACCUGCCCUUGACUUUGGGAUAACUUCAGGAAACUGGGGCUAAUACCGGAUAGGAGCUCCUGCUGCAUGGUGGGGGUUGGAAAGUUUCGGCGGUUGGGGAUGGACUCGCGGCUUAUCAGCUUGUUGGUGGGGUAGUGGCUUACCAAGGCUUUGACGGGUAGCCGGCCUGAGAGGGUGACCGGCCACAUUGGGACUGAGAUACGGCCCAGACUCCUACGGGAGGCAGCAGUGGGGAAUAUUGCACAAUGGGCGGAAGCCUGAUGCAGCAACGCCGCGUGCGGGAUGACGGCCUUCGGGUUGUAAACCGCUUUCGCCUGUGACGAAGCGUGAGUGACGGUAAUGGGUAAAGAAGCACCGGCUAACUACGUG